GCGCGAAAACUUUGCAAUGCGGGAAACCGUGACAAGGGAACUCUGAGUGCCCGUUAAAUCGGGCUGUCCAUCGGUUUAAAUAACCGGUGAAGAAAGGGCCGGGCAAGACCGGUGCCAGCCGCCGCGGUAAUACCGGCGGCUCGAGUGGUGGCCACUAUUACUGGGCUUAAAGCGUUCGUAGCUGGUUUGUUAAGUCUCUGGGGAAAUCUUCCGGCUUAACCGGAAGGCGUUUCAGGGAUACUGGCAGACUAGGGACCGGGAGAGGUGAGAGGUACUCCAGGGGUAGGAGUGAAAUCCUGUAAUCCUUGGGGGACCACCUGUGGCGAAGGCGUCUCACCAGAACGGCUCCGACAGUGAGGGACGAAAGCUGGGGGAGCAAACCGGAUUAGAGACCCCGGU
rnacentral:rRNA from 1 species